AACGUAGGAGACAACCGUUAUCCGGAGUUACUGGGCGUAAAGGGCGUGUAGGCGGUCUGUUAAGUCUGGCGUGAAAGCUCUCGGCUAAACCGGGAGAGGUCGUUGGAUACUGGCAGACUAGAGGACGGUAGAGGCGUGUGGAAUUCCGGGUGUAGUGGUGAAAUGCGUAGAGAUCCGGAGGAACACCAGUGGCGAAGGCGACACGCUGGGCCGUACCUGACGCUAAAGCGCGACAGCAUGGGGAGCAAACGGG
rnacentral:rRNA from 1 species